UGCCGCUCCUGCUAUCAAUCCC
rnacentral:siRNA from 1 species